AGGACCGUCCCUGGGUGGGCUCGAACCACCAACCUUUCGGUUAACAGCCGAACGCGCUAACCGAUUGCGCCACAGAGACAGACACGAAUUUGGAGAUGCCGGGGAUCGAACCCGGGGCCUCACACAUGCAAAGCGUGCGCUCUACCACUGAGCUACAUCCCCAUACGAAAGCUAUCACGCGAAAUCGCGCUAAUAACCUGUGCACAAAUAUGGUUUUGCUCGUUCACACGUUUUUUAAUCCACUGUUUACUUAUAUAACGCAUAAGAACUGGCUCAACUUUUUUUAGGACUGUUAAAUCAAAUUGAAAUACAAACAAUUUGCUUUAUGUUUGUUAAUGAUUUAAUUACAUUCCGGUUCGAAUUUAUUUUAGAAUUCAAUAAGCAUACUUAAAGGUCAAAUAACACAGAAAACAAAUCGUGUUGAAAGUAACUUGAAUAUUGUAUGACAUGCUUUUAUAAUUGACGAAAUUCAUAAAGAUAAAUAGUCCUGGGGUGCAUGAAACAACUAAUAUAGUCGUUACAUACCAUACAAAUAAAGCGUAUAUCAUACACUGUGUAUACUGUAUACACUCAUUUUCUAAAUAAAGUGAAUUUAUGACCAUAUUAUUUGUUGAAAUCAUCAAUAAGUUAGCGAAAAGUGGAGAUGCCGGGGAUUGAACCCGGGGCCUCACACAUGCGAAGCGUGCGCUCUACCACUGAGCUACAUCCCCAACGACGAGGAUGGGAUUCGAACCCACGCGUGCAGAGCACAAUGGAUUAGCAGUCCAUCGCCUUAACCACUCGGCCACCUCGUCGCGUCAGAAUCGUGUUCUAGAAUAGCACUAUACUAUACACACGAAUUGUUUCCAACCAAACUUGUUUUAUUUAGUGAGUUUUAGUUCAUUUUUAGCAUAGUUUGCUGGUUAUAAAAACAUCACAUGACAUUUGUACGUUACUUUCAAUGUACUGCAAAUUUUGAAGAAAACAAAUAUCACGUGUAAUAGUAGUUUAACAACCUUUUAUUCUGCAUAGAAGAUAUACCGCACCAAUAUUAACAAAAUAUCCAAAUGCACAAAAUACAAAUAAACGCACACUUCUUGCUGAGUUGUAAAAAUCGUUCCCAGACCGGGAAUCGAACCCGGGCCGCGUGGGUGAGAGCCACGAAUCCUAACCACUAGACCACCUGGGAGACAGUACAGUUGCUUCCAAACAGCUGUUCUAUUCUACAGCAUAACUAAACUAUUUUAAACGGCCCAUUAAUUGAUGUUUCACAGACACUAUUACAUACGAUUGAUAAACAAAAUAUAUCACCAACAAAUUAGUGCACAAACUCUAAGGUAUUGGUAAAAGUAAGCCAGUAAUACAAAAAUCCACUUUAUUAACAACAAUUUCUGAAUCUAAGAAAUUUCAAAAUAAAUACUGUACUAU